rnacentral:rRNA from 1 species
AGAUUUGAUCCUGGCUCAGGACGAACGCUGGCGGCGUGCUUAACACAUGCAAGUCGAACGGAAAGGCCCUUUCGGGGGUGCUCGAGUGGCGAACGGGUGAGUAACACGUGGGUGAUCUGCCCUGCACUUCAGGAUAAGCCUGGGAAACUGGGUCUAAUACUGGAUAGGACUACGGCCUGCAUGGGUUGUGGUGGAAAGCU